rnacentral:rRNA from 1 species
UGGCUCAAGAACGAACGCUGGCGGCAGGCUUAACACAUGCAAGCCGAGCGCCCGCAAGGGGAGCGGCAGACGGGUGAGUAACGCGUGGGAAUCUACCUUUUGCUACGGAAUAACUCAGGGAAACUUGUGCUAAUACCGUAUGUGCCCUUCGGGGGAAAGAUUUAUCGGCAAAGGAUGAGCCCGCGUUGGAUUAGCUAGUUGGUGGGGUAAAGGCCCACCAAGGCGACGAUCCAUAGCUGGUCUGAGAGGAUGAUCAGCCACACUGGGACUGAGACACGGCCCAGACUCCUACGGGAGGCAGCAGUGGGGAAUAUUGGUCAAUGGGCGGAAGCCUGAACCAGCCAUGCCGCGUGCAGGAUGACGGCCCUACGGGUUGUAAACUGCUUUUCCCCGGGAAGAAUAAGCCCCUCGUGAGGGGUGAUGCCGGUACCGGGGGAAUAAGGAUCGGCUAACUCCGUGCCAGCAGCUGC